GACGAACCGAGCGAACGUUAUUCGGAAUCACUGGGCUUAAAGGGUGCGUAGGCGGGCUCGCCAGUCAGGGGUGAAAUCCCACGGCCCAACCGUGGAAGUGCCUCUGAUACUGCGGGCCUCGAGGGGGAUAGGGGCGUGCGGAACUUCCGGUGGAGCGGUGAAAUGCGUAGAUAUCGGAAGGAACACCGGUGGCGAAAGCGGCGCGCUGGAUCCCUACUGACGCUGAGGCACGAAAGCCAGGGGAGCAAACGGG
rnacentral:rRNA from 1 species